rnacentral:rRNA from 1 species
CUGGCGGCAGGCCUAACACAUGCAAGUCGAGCGGAUGAAGGGAGCUUGCUCCUGGAUUCAGCGGCGGACGGGUGAGUAAUGCCUAGGAAUCUGCCUGGUAGUGGGGGAUAACGUCCGGAAACGGGCGCUAAUACCGCAUACGUCCUGAGGGAGAAAGUGGGGGAUCUUCGGACCUCACGCUAUCAGAUGAGCCUAGGUCGGAUUAGCUAGUUGGUGGGGUAAAGGCCUACCAAGGCGACGAUCCGUAACUGGUCUGAGAGGAUGAUCAGUCACACUGGAACUGAGACACGGUCCAGACUCCUACGGGAGGCAGCAGUGGGGAAUAUUGGACAAUGGGCGAAAGCCUGAUCCAGCCAUGCCGCGUGUGUGAAGAAGGUCUUCGGAUUGUAAAGCACUUUAAGUUGGGAGGAAGGGCAGUAAGUUAAUACCUGCUG